UACGGAGGGUGCAAACGUUGCUCGGAAUCAUUGGGCGUAAAGCGCACGUAGGCGGUCCAGCAAGUCGGGUGUGAAAGCCCUCGGCUUAACCGAGGAAGUGCAUUCGAAACUACUGGACUUGAAUACUGGAGAGGGUUGCGGAAUUCCCGGUGUAGAGGUGAAAUGCGUAGAUAUCGGGAGGAACACCUGUGGCGAAAGCGGCGCACUGGACCACUUCUGACGCUGAGGCGCGAAAGCUAGGGGAGCAAACAGG
rnacentral:rRNA from 1 species